GACGCAGUAGCUCAGUUGGAGGAGCGUCUGACUUGUAAUCCAAGGGUGGCGGGUUUGAUACUCGCCCUCACCUGUUUGUGUCG